UGCCGCUGCAGGAGCCGGGGACGAAGGUACGAGAUCGUGUUCAUGGGUGGGAAAGUGAUUUUGCCAAGUCAGGUUUUCCUUGGCCUCUGCGUCAGGGUCUGUCCUAGGGAGACAGGAUUGGGUUAGCACAGGGGUGGAGGGACCAAGAGGAAGUCUCAGCUGGUACUGAAGGCCAGGCCUGGAGUGCGGGGGAGCCUGGGGAGGCCUCGGGUUCAAGGCUCCUGCGGGGGUGGGCUUCCUGAGAGCAAAGAUGACGGGGUGUGUGUGCGUCCUGUGUCCAGUCCUCCUUGGCGAGGGCCUCCCUGGCCUGUUGCUGCCCGGGGCUGUGGGACCUCAGUGGAGAAAACCCACUGGUGGGGUUUCCUGGCAACAUGGCAGGUGCUGGCCAUGUGCCAGAGCACGCAUGGUCCAUCUGUGGCACCCUCCUUGAUGCAGAGGGUCCCUCAGGCUCCCGAGCAGGUCCAAGGAGGGUGGAGACCCCAUACUUCAGGCCCCGGCAGCAGAGGCAGAGACCCUUUCCCUGUGGACCAGGAGCAGGCCCAGCUGGAGAGCCCAGGCCGCCUCUCCCCACCUGGAGUCCGGGGCUGCUGGGCUGCUGCCCCACCAUGACCGGCCCUGUGCCUCCCAUUCCUGCAGCCCAGGGCUGGGGCUGCUCCUCUGCAGAAACCUCUGCAGGGCUCACAUCUCACUGGGACCCGCCAUGGCUGCCCUCUUCCCCAAGGGGCUGUGUUGUGGGAAUCAGGAGGACAAGAGAGACCUUGGGGUAAAGCAGGAGGAUCUUUAUUGAGUGCACUCAGACCCAGCGGACUUUAACAUCCGGAAAACUGGGCCUAGAACAAAGACAGCACUUGACUUUUAUACACACUUCAAAAAGGGGGUGGGCUAGCUUGAAGCAGGCUUACAGUUACAGUGGUGUGAAAGCAAGGAUACAGAGGCAGAACCAUUAAUCAAACUGUGACAGGUUCAUAACUCAGGAUUACACAUGACCGUUGCUAUGCAACCCAGAUGUCUGUUAUCUAGGUUUUUCUCUCGUACCUAGCAUGGCUUAUUCCAUGACCUUUACUGUGGUGUCCAGGUCGCUGUAUCUCAGGCCUGCCCAGAGAGUUUAUGAUCUUUCCCCCACUGCUUAGAUAAAACAGAAUGCUUGAAGUUACUAGUUACAGAGAACGGGAAUCUAUAAACUCACACCAUAAGAGACAGGAACGUUUGGUUUUCUUCUCCCUACGUUGAGGGAGUGCUGGGAGAGUCUUCAGAGCACAUUCCUUUUUGUCCUAGCUUCUUCAACAGUGUUUUUCAAGACUUUUCCUGGGUUUGGGCCUUGCCUGCUACUGCCUUUGGGAUGAGUCAGUCUAAUACAGGAAAGCCUAUUUCUUUCUCUUUUUAGUUUUAUUUCUCUUUAUUUCUUUAAUUUCCCACCUCACCCUGGCCACCUGGACCCUUCCCUUCCUCAGUGCUCAGUGUCAGCCCCUCCCUGGCCUAACCUGAGACCCUACUCCCAGGACAAUUUCCUGCCUGGAUGUGCUCAGAGCCUUGCUCUGGCCGGGGUCUGUGACAGGUGUGUGUGUCUCUCUGGGUGUGAGCACACUGGAGACAGUGUUAUGUCCACAGUGUUUCAUGUCUGCCCUGUAACACCAGAGCCUGGGACAGUGCCAGCACCCCGUGGCUCCUGGUCAGAUCUUGGGCAUCAAGUCUGAGUCUGACCCCAGGGGUUGAGACCUCUUGGCCAAGGGGAUGGUGCAAAGAGGUGGGGCCACCAAGAGCUAGUGAGGCCAUGAGGACUGCUCCUCCUGAGGGGAUCGAGGCUCUCGUGAAGGAGGCUCACACAGCACCUGUCCCACGCCUGCCCCUAACCUUCCACCCCAGAGGUCACAGCACAAGGCACCAUCCUGGGAGCAGAGAGCGGCCCUCGCAGACACCAAACCUGCUGGUGCCUGGACCCUGGACUUCUCAGCCUCUGGAAUGGGGAGGAAGUAAUUGUUUGCUCUUUGUCA